rnacentral:lncRNA from 1 species
GAAAGUCUACUCUUUCUACGUCUUUGCUCGGUGCAGCCGACAAUUGGUCCAGGUAUAGCAUCUAUGGCUUGAACCUGAAAUAUCGAUCUUGUCUCCUAGAUCUUCCUCUUCUUAGAAUUGUUGGUGACAACCCAGAUGCUAGGACUCAGUAAAGAUGUCAUUCAUUCGGAAUGCAUCGACGUCUGUUUCUCACCUUGGUCGAGCAGCUGGUUUGUCAACAUAUUGGUCACACUUGCCUUCCUUAACGAGCUUCUCAAGGUACUUCAUCCACGUAGUGCAAUCGUUGGUUGUGUGCCCAGGACCUCUGUGGAUAGCACAUAACUUUGUCUGGUCUAUCGUUGAGGUAUCCCCUCUUAUGGGUGAUGGCGGCUUGAACCACGGCAUGUCCUUGAGGUCACGAAUGGUGUACGUCUUGGGCGUCGUGCCUCCCUUCAUCAGGGAUCCAUCCCUGUAUUUGCUUCCUAGCUUAUUUUUAUUGUUAACCAGUUUAUCGCUCACCUUCUUCUAAGUCAGGUCUCCAUCUUUGCGCGGCUGCUCAGGCUGCUUCUAGGACCGCUUAGCCUCAUUCCAAAAUGAAUGCAUUUCUACCAAGACAUAAGAAUCUGCCAAGGUCAAGUUCUCACCCAUGAUCAGUUCUCCAAAAAGUGGGCAAUUUAUUAGAAGCCCCUUUCGGAAGGCUGAGCAAGCAAUGCUUGUAGACAUGUAAAUUUCGUUGCAUCCAAAUAAUGCAUCACAAAGCUCCACAUGGUAUAUGACUCAUUAUAAAUGGACAAGCCAUUAAUGACAUGUGGCACUAAUUAAGCAAAGGAAGCUCAAAACUUCGCUAAAUUGCUCCCAAAACCGGAAAGAAAGCUAAAGCAUCUUCAUAAAACAAGCAAGAAUUGAAGAUUACUCAUAAAAUAAGCAAGAAAGCCCUAUAAAUGCGGCCAAGCAAGGGAAAGUGGCUGAAAUUAAGACACAAAACAUGCCUAAAUUCUCCCAUGGACGAAUCAAGACAAAAAUCAAAGCCAAAUCCAUCCAAAGGCAAGCUUUAAGAAGUCUAGAAAUACAAGGCCCUCAAACAAGCAUAAAGGUCAACAAUUUCUACAUUAAAGGGCGGAAAUUCUCACAAAUGGAUAACCUCUACCAAAUCUUUGAAGACUAAUAUGCUGCCAAAGCUCUCUUCGAAGAAUGC